CAUAGUUUCUUGGUAUUAUAGUUUAUAUAUAAAUAUUUGAUUCUUCUCAUACUUGAGCACUUCACCAAUCUUUGCAUAUACCUUUAUUUCUUUAAAGCACUUUUCCUUUACCUUUACCUGCUAUGACUCCUCAGAGGGAUUGGUGUUUAGAUUUGAUUCGCAACGAUGCUUCUCCUUUUCUUCUCCUUCUUACUGGGAAACCCUUUUCUUUCAUUCGCUUCAAUUGAAAAGGAUGUGUUUUAAUCCCAACAUUUUUUUCCAGUUUUCCUCGAUCUACAGUUUCUUCUUAAAGCAUGAUUUUUUGUUCUUCUUUUUCGACAAGAUGUUUUUCACAGCUCUAUUACCUUUUUUUUCUUUACUUUUCUUCACAUGGUUCUUGAGGAACGAGUUCAUCUCAUCCACUAAAAGGGCCUCGUUUACCGAAAUCAAACAUAAAUUUGCGCAUAAAAUCUCUAUUUUUCUUCUACCUAUUUCUAUGUUCCAGUACUGUCAUUAAGUUUUACUGUUAAUUAAUCAGUCUCAGUCUCUAUGCAUCAUGUUCCCUUUUCCCGUUUCUGUUCAGACAAUUUUCCGUUAGAUUUGCCUUUUCUGUGUGAAACUUGUGGCAAAAUGAUAUCAUAGGUUGUAUUCAUAAUUUGUUUAAGGAGGUUUUGUUGGUAGCUUUAGAUGCAUGGAGAUUUUGCCAGUCGUUAUUUGCGGAUGUAGCAUCAUCAAGAUUCACAUGCUGUGAUGCAAUCUGAGAGCUGUGCCAACCAUGCCAUAGGUCUUAUGGAAGUGAGAAUCUUGAUGAUGCUGCAUCAGCCAUAAACGACUACUUUCAAAAGUUGGAUAAGGACUAUUCUAUAAUAAUCUCAGCAAGUGGGCCAAAAAUAUAUAUAAAAAAAAAAGGAAAAAAGAGAAAUGAGAAACCCCCCUUCAGACAUUAUCUGAUCUGCGCGUUUAUACCAAGAGGCAACCUUUCCCACUUUGCUUUUUUGUUGGUGUCAGAAUCCUAGGUUUUGAAGUUUAGGCUAUUUGGAGGCCUUGAGGAGCGGCUGUUGGGUCCUUUAUGUGCUGACUUCACAGAUCUAUGAUGAAUAUUCCUUUUCAACAGAAAUGCUGGGAUCUAAAUGGUGUCUUUUCAGUUUCUAAAUAUAGAUGCAGAUAUCACUUUAUCCAAAUCUGAAGAGAAUGUUAUAGGCGCAACCACAGAGAAAGUUAAAAUUAUUAUUUCGAAUUUAGGGUGUACUCAGUAGCUAGUGUUCAUGCUCAUAAAUGACGGUAACUUUUACUUUUAUCAGAUUUUUUUCGCCUUUAAUUAGAUCUGCAAAUAACUGCAAUGCUACAUAGCUAACUAUUGAAUACUAAACACUGCACCGAUCUUCAAAAUCUUUCUCAGAGCAUGCAGUUUCGUGCUUACAGUGCACUGAUUUUUGGCUUUGGUAUGAACAAUGUCCAAGGCUUUGGCUUUGGUAUGAAUGAACCAAUAAUCACUUGUAGCCUCUGGUUGGUGGACCAAGUUGGAAUCUCUAGGGUACCCUUUCUGUGGGAGAGAUGUUUCAGUGCAUCUGUUACUAUAUAAUGUUCAAAGUUAAAUAGUAGAAGUUAUUUUGUAAGAAUAAAAUAGCUUCAUUAUUCAUGAUAGUGAUGAUUCGGUAUAUUGAAGAUCUUAUCUUAUGGAAAUCUGUGUGCCCCCAUCACUGUCCAACUCUUGGUCACAUAUUCUCGCUGCUCCAUCAUUAUGAAUAUGUUGUGUACACUGUCUUUGCCCGAAACAGCUUGCCCUAUUUCUUUGUAGGGAGGGUUGUGGAUCAUACAUGCAUCAGGCCCACUCAUCUUCUUCUUCUCUCUCUUCAUUGGUAAAGCCACACAAUUUUUGUGCCCUUUUUUAUAAGGGUAGUCUCUCCUAUGCAAUUAGGUCUCUAAACAGUUAUGUGUCUGUGUGUUUGUAUUUAGGAUAUAUGCUGCUAAUUAAUAUAGAGUACAUGUUUGAAGCUUUUGGUUUUUUUAUUUUUUUCUGUGCAUGAGGGAGAAGGACAAAGGGGUUUAAUGAACCUGAGUGAGUACAUAAAAUUACUUUUUUUCCUCGAAUAAUAAUAUGGUUGAGAAAGAGCAUAUAAGAGGGUGCAUGUGAUGAAUCUGUUUUUAUUAUUUAAUCUUUGGCUAUAUUUUUAUUGAAAGUGACAGACAGAUAAUGCACUAAGUACAUGCUUAAUUUCAGGGAGCACAUGGAUCAUUUAAACCCUUGUUUUCAGGCACAAGUAGCACGUGAAGAUAAGAAGUUGUGGGUUCUGCGUCAAAAUGGACAUAAUCACAUGCCACUGCAUAGUACUAUACACACAUUGCUUCCAUUAUUGAGUGUGCGGUUGUAUCAGAAAAACAAAUGGAAUCCUUUCAGUUUGUCUGCAAUAUUCUAUAGCUAUGAUGAAGGAUUCAUUUGUUUGAAGUAAGAUGCUAUAGCACACUGUUUUGUUUGACCCUAAGUUUUAUAUAGUUUGAUAUAUGUGGUACAAAAUGUUCUGACGAGAUUCCCGUAUCACGUCAUGUUGCUGAGGUACACACAUUGAUUUUCAUGCAAACAUGGUGUGGAAAGGAAGAAGAACUGAUAUAGUUCUUCAGCUUUUACUAUUUUUCGCCUUCAAAUCUUGAAUUGGUAUUCUGUAAAUAUGAAUGUGGAGAUAGACAUAUUUGACCACGUUUACUCUAUUCCAACUAUCUGGUGAGUGAAGUGAAUUCUCUUUUUCACAUCACUGAUAUUGGGAAGCUAUCAUUCAAAUAGUGACACGAUUUAGACAGUCACAUUUUGCCCUUA